rnacentral:rRNA from 1 species
CAGUAGCCGCGGGAACACGAAGGGGGCUAGCGUUGCUCGGAAUGACUGGGCGUAAAGGGCGCGUAGGCGGUUCGUACAGUCAGAUGUGAAAUUCCUGGGCUCAACCUGGGGACUGCAUUUGAUACGUACGGACUUGAGUGGAGAAGAGGGUCGUGGAGUUUCCAGUGUAGAGGUGAAAUUCGUAGAUAUUGGAAAGAACACCGGUGGCGAAGGCGGCGACCUGGUCUUUAACUGACGCUGAGGCGCGAAAGCGUGGGGAGCAAACAGGAUUAGAUACCCCCGUAGUCCCUGUCUCUUAUAC